AUUCAGGAAUGCUGACGCAUGGGUAUGACAUCCAGAGUGUUGGGCUUUGGCGUCUGACCUCUUCAGAGGGGAAACAGAAAGAUUGCCAAGGGUUCGCACUUCCACUGUGGACAGCUCAGAAACAAACCCUUGAAUCCAGAUCAGAAAAAAAGGGACAAUUGGCUGCUGGCAUCUUUCUGCUGUUGAGUUGCUGGAAGAUCAUUUGUUUAUGGAAUUUGUUGUCAGAAGGAACAGUCUGGGGAAGAGAACUUAAGGAGGUUCACUCCUACAAGGAUAGACUCAGACAGGAAAUAAAUUGCUGAAGGAAAGCAUCUUUUGCUUUGCAGCCGGAAAGUCAUCUUCCUCCAUGAAGAGCUGGAAGCCUCAGGAGAAAGUGAUGAGAAAGAAUACGAGCAGGAUGGAUUUGAAGCCAGUUAAAAGUCCACCAUGGAUGGGGUCAGGCAGGCAGGCAGGAAGGAAGGACCUAAUGAACGAACAAACAAAGGAAUGGAGGAAUGAAGGAAAAAGAAAAAUCCAGAAGGCCACACGAAUCACAUUGUCGAGUCGGGCACCUGCUUGCCUUGUUCAUUUGGUCCAUCUGCACCCCUGCAUGUCUCACAACUCUCACAUGACACCUCCAGGGGCCACUGAGGCCACCUUCUUCCUGAGUCCGCUGAUCUCAGCUGUGAAGUCUGCACAUCUGAACUACUCAUCCUGAUUUUUCUUAUAUUGCUUUUUCUGCCCAACAACCUCCUAUGCUUUUCUAAUCAACAGUUCAUUGUUCUGGAUGCUCUUAAAUGUCACAAAGCUGUGUCCUCAACCUGCUCCAAGACCAGGCAGCACUCGGUUUGCUAUC
rnacentral:lncRNA from 1 species